UACGUAGGGGGCAAGCGUUGUCCGGAAUCAUUGGGCGUAAAGAGCGUGUAGGCGGCUCGGUAAGUCCGCUGUAAAAGUCCAGGGCUCAACCCUGGAAAGCCGGUGGAAACUGUCGAGCUAGAGUCCGGAAGAGGCGAGUGGAAUUCCUGGUGUAGCGGUGAAAUGCGCAGAUAUCAGGAGGAACACCAAUGGCGAAGGCAGCUCGCUGGGACGGUACUGACGCUGAGAAGCGAAAGCAUGGGGAGCGAACAGG
rnacentral:rRNA from 1 species